UUGAACGCUGGCGGCGUGCUUAACACAUGCAAGUCGAACGAGAAAGGGACUUCGGUCCUGAGUAGAGUGGCGCACGGGUGAGUAAUGCAUCGGAACGUACCCAGUCGUGGGGGAUAACUACGCGAAAGCGUGGCUAAUACCGCAUACGCCCUGAGGGGGAAAGCGGGGGACCUUCGGGCCUCGCGCGAUUGGAGCGGCUGAUGUCGGAUUAGCUGGUUGGUGGGGUAAAGGCCUACCAAGGCGACGAUCCGUAGCUGGUCUGAGAGGAUGAUCAGCCACACUGGGACUGAGACACGGCCCAGACUCCUACGGGAGGCAGCAGUGGGGAAUUUUGGACAAUGGGCGCAAGCCUGAUCCAGCCAUGCCGCGUGAGUGAAGAAGGCCUUCGGGUUGUAAAGCUCUUUCAGACGGAAAGAAAUCGGGCGGGUGAAUAGCCUGCCUGGAUGACGGUACUGUCAGAAGAAGCACCGGCUAACUACGUG
rnacentral:rRNA from 1 species